AUUGAACGCUGGCGGCAUGCCUUACACAUGCAAGUCGAACGGCAGCACGGGUGCUUGCACCUGGUGGCGAGUGGCGAACGGGUGAGUAAUACAUCGGAACGUACCUUAUCGUGGGGGAUAACGCAGCGAAAGCUGUGCUAAUACCGCAUACGCCCUGAGGGGGAAAGCGGGGGAUCGCAAGACCUCGCGCGAUUAGAGCGGCCGAUGCCUGAUUAGCUUGUUGGUGGGGUAAAAGCCCACCAAGGCGACGAUCAGUAGCUGGUCUGAGAGGACGAUCAGCCACACUGGGACUGAGACACGGCCCGGGCUCCUACGGGAGGCAGCAGUGGGGAAUUUUGGACAAGGGGGGCAACCCUUAUCCAGCAAUGCCGCGUGAGUGAAGAAGGCCUUCGGGUUGUAAAGCUCUUUUGUCAGGGAAGAAACACCGGCUCUAACACAGUCCGGGAAUGACGGUACCUGAAGAAUAAGCACCUGAUAACUACGUGCCAGCCGCCGCCGUAA
rnacentral:rRNA from 1 species